rnacentral:lncRNA from 1 species
AGCACAGGAGCAAAGGGAGGCCAGCGCUGGGCGGCGGGGCUGGCAGGGGGUGACCUGUCUCCACCCCAUCAGCUCCCUUUAGGGAUCUUGAUGUCCUGUUCUGUAAAAAGGGGCACCUACCUGGAUGGGCGUGAGGCUUCAAUGGCACACCCUGCGAGAAAGCGCUUUAGGUAUAAAGGGCUCCGGCUUAAAUUACCCCUUUAAUUAGUUCAGGCCUUGGUUCGAAAGUUUAUAGAAAUACCUAAAGGCCAACAGGAAAAGAAAGUCACAGAAAAAGUUGGACUAAGGAAGAUAGGUCAGGAAAUAAGAGGAAGGCAGUGGUAGGGCUGGUCCCAUCAACCUCGGGGGGUGUUCUGGAAUCCAGAAGGGCCUCUGGUGGGUGCUGAGCUCCUGACAGCCCAGACAAAUAGGGAAAUGGGAUUAGUUAUGAAGCACAGGGGUCUAUAUAGAAAAAAUGAAACGAGUUAUUCAGGAGAGUCUUAGGAGGUUGUUAUUGAUCCCCAUUUUACCGGGGAGAAAAGUGAAGGUCACGGGGGCUCAGUCUUGCCCGAGGACCCUCAUUCUAAGCCACAGAGGCAGGCAUGGAGCCCUGGUCUGGUGGGCUCUUGCCCCUCACACAGGAGGACGGGGGGGGGGACCGAAGUUUGUGCUCCUAAAUGCCAGGCCACGCUGCCCUGCUGGUCCUAAGGCCCGAGAGAAAUUUGUCCUGUGGGUCGUACAAUGUUGUGCAAUGUUGUACUUCCACAGCCCGGAGCAAGCCAGGGGAAAUGGUAGCGGGAGAAGCAUUCAAGGCAGAUGUUACCAAUUGUCUACUGAGGCCAUGAAACAGCUCAUUGGAACACUCCGGGAGCACUUAGUUUUUAGGAGGCUGGCUUUUUGGUGAGCCCCUGGUGACAAACAGUUGCAAAAUACCCUUUCCCCCGGGUCAUCAGGUCCCACUGGAAAAAAAUCUUGCCUCAUAGGGGCCCACCCAGAGGCGCACUGGUUAAGUUCGUGUGCUCUGCUGCAGCAGCCUGGGGUUUGCCAGUUCGGAUCCUGGGUGCAAACCUACGCCCUGCUCAUCAAGCUAUGCUGUGGCAGGCCUCAUAUAUAAAAUAGAGGAAGAUGUGCAGAGAUGUUAGCUCAGGGCCAAUCUUCCUCACCAAAAAGAGAAGGAUUGACAGUGGAUUUUAGCUCAGGGCUAAUCUUCCUUUAGGGGAAAAAAAAUCUUGCCUGACAACCAGAAAUCACCUAUCUGGGACUCCUUCUCCGCUCCCCCUGCAACCUGAGAGGCAUCUGCUGGGGGAUAAGCACUCAGGUGGUGAGAAUAAACUUACCAAUCCACAGAGGAAACCCCCAGAUCCUGUCCAGGACGUUCGAGGAGAGGGGAUGGGCAGAGGCAGAUGACGAUGGGCUUGCUUAUGACCAGUGACUUUUCCCUCUGAAAGCUGGGGGCUGCACCUGCAGCUGCAGCGAGCAUGGGGCCCUGGAGCCAGGUUGCCUGGUUUCCAAUCCCAGCUCUGUCACUUUGGGCAACACCUGGCCACUUGUGCCUCAGUUUCCCCUUUCAUAAGGUGGGGAUAAGAACAAGCCUCAUAGGAUUGAACGAGUAAACGUGUGUCUAGAACUCAGAACAAUGCCUGGCCCAGUUUGUUCAGUAAGCAGGAGGUGCCAUUCUCAUGUGCCCCUUCUACUGCUCACAUCUAAGGUUGCUGGGGUGGUGGCUGUGGUCAUUGCUAUGUCCCGAUGGGGCAGGUCUGCAGGGUUCUAUCCUCAUAGCUGUUCACCAAGUGGACGGGCACACUGGAAUGUCCCUGCCUGGUUGGGGCAAGCCAGGUUUCAGAAGUGCCCCCUUCCCAUUGACCCCCUGCCCCGUGUUCUUGUUGGUGUGCCCACCUGGCUUGUUUCCAUGUUGGAACAGCCCAGACUCAGCAGUGCACUCUCCCUCACAUCUUACCCUGACUUCAGGCUCUUGCCAAGUCUUACUUGCUCCAGGAAGCGGCCCCAACCGCUCUGGUCUGCCCUGCUCUCUGAGUUUUCAGAGCUGGUGUCAGCCAGGGCCUCAGUCAUUCCACAAGAGGGUGGGUAGGUGGCAUAGAGCCCUGGCAGCCAGGGCCGAGGGGGCUCUAUUCCUGGCCAGGGGCCACUCUGCUGGCAAAUCAGGCUCCCGUUAUGGGUCCCAGCAUCUCCAUCUGUAAAAUGAGGCUCUUUCCCAUCCUCUCCAUCUGCAGGGGUGCUGCCAUGGCUCUUUGAAAUGUGUUCGAUUUUUCUCUUCUCCUCUGGCACAGAGCAGGCGUGAACACUCCAGGAUGGGGGCUCAGGCAAACGUCAGGCCCAAUUCCAUCUGAUUCAGAGCCACGGAACAGUCAUUUCUUGAUGAAGUAUAGCCAGCUGUACAAGGCACAGGGCCACACUGAGAGGGGACACAACCAGACCUGCCCCUGCCACCCCCAGCCCAGGUGCCUGCAGAGACGUCUUCAGAACACAUUUUACUUUCCUUCCUGAAUGCCCCUGAAUCCAAAUUCGGCCUUGUUUAGCAGUGAUGGUGACUUCUGAAGAACAUCCUGGAAUACAUUGUCUCAUCCUGAAAAUCUUAAUUGAGGAAACCUCCAACACGUGGCCCAAGAGGAGAGUGAUUCCCACCCAAGUGAUAAAUACUUCGGGGGUCUCAAAACUGUGUCUUGGCCAAGGACGUUCCACGUCAGAGCCCUGUGGCUCUGCGAACAGCGCAGGACAGAGAGGGGACAAACAGCCGUACUGUUCUCUCCCUGGGAGCUGGGCCAUAUUCUCCUCUCUGUUUAGCAAGUGGGAAAACUGAGAUCUUGCCAGCAGCCAAGUGGAUGGGGAGGUGUCUGGCCGAUGCUUUUGAGGUAACACUCUUAAAGCACCUAAGUGGCCAGAGAGAAUGGGCUAACCUGAGAAAGCCGCUGAGUGCCAGGAAAUGGUCACAAUUCAAAGCCUGGCUACAAUGCAGCAAGUCAAGAAGACAGCACAGCUGAGGAAAGCGCAGGGCAGCUCCCAGUUCAGGUGUGUGUACUCUGGCUUUCCCCGCGGGCUUGAAAUGCACGUGGAGCUCGCACUUCCCUAGAAACAGUGCCAUCACCUUCCUUUCCCUUCCCUUCCCUGGGGAGGUUAGAGUUCUGGGCUUGUGCUUCAUCCCCUUUUGAGGUUUUCCUACAGAAUUGGCCAAGGGAGAGCCUCAAUUUCUUCCCCCUGCGAGAGUCUCAGAAAACCUCUUGGAGGAGAGAACAUGCUUGAAAGGAGCCUGAGAAAUCUCCUCCCCCAGUUCUAGAGACCCCUGCUCCUACCUGGAUCUAGAAACGAGCGGAUUCCCAUGCUCACCGCUGUCACAGCCCACGGCAGCCUUCACGCACAUGGCAGCCAAGAGGCCUCCCUGGAGGGUGCGGGAGGUCCUGAUCCCAGCGCCGCCAGCUUGUUCUGUGAUCUUCACUAAGCCCCUCAAUCCUGCUCUGCCAUGUGCAAACCAAACGCUCCCGGCGUCCCCCUGGGUUCUCCGUGGCUAACGGCAGGAGGAUCCAAGUGGGAGGGCUGUUUUGGAUGGAGGGCCACAGGACUCUGCUUUCUGGAGGGGGUUAUAGAUUCCUUCAGAAAUGACAUUCUCCCCAGCAUGUCAACAAGGACUGGACCAGUGCGAUCGUGUCCCCGUGUGCCUGGGAAGUUCCCUGGUUGUAGCACUGAGAGUUCCACGUUCCGCAACAAGCUGGGCAGUUGGUCACCCUGUUUGUACUCCCCUUUGGAGAGAGAGAGUGAGCAAAUCCUGGCUAGUGGUGUGUCCUCCAUCCCUGACACCUUCUCCCCCGUCCGUGCUGAAGGGAAGGCAGAAAAGACCCAUCUGACAUUAACUGAGAAGAGGAGAGAACACUCCAAGCUGUUGAAGAGCCUGCCUCUUCUCAACUCCAAGCUUAGCUGGGCUGCGACUCCUGGCCUGGCCCGGGGCACACAGACCCUUAGGGGGCCUCUUGAUGCUCCUUGUCUUGCUGGGUUCCUACAUGGGGCUGGGUGGCAGGAAGGGGCAGGUGUGGAGGUGCCUAGUUAAAUGCCUCCUCAUGGUCACAUACCGGUGUUUAACCUUUCCUCGGGGGCACUGGUCUCAAAGGCAUUCCCAGGCAGGGCAACCAGAUGUGUGUCCUCACCCGUGCUCCCCCACGGGCUCCUUCACCUGCCAGCGUGAUGCUGUGCCCACACGCUCACAAACGGUAACCAGAGCUUAAGCAAAACACCCACGGUGCUCAAGCUAUGCAAAUAGGUGUGCGGACAAAUGCAUGCAGGGAAGAGGGGCUGGGAAAUGGCGCCAACAGGCAGAAAGAUUCCUGGAGACACUGCAAGGGGCAUGUGCCCAGGGAGUCCAGAACUGGCAUCACAGCACAAGUGUGCACAGGAGGCAGCGAUGGCUGUGAACACAGCACAUACACCUCCCUCAGCCUCCUGAGCUCAUCUCCAAUCAGGGUAUCAGUUUGGGGGCAGGCCCUGAAUGUCAAGAGAUGUUCCCUACCCUCUCCCUGACAGGCAGGAGCUUCUAGGGGCGGUCAGACCUGUGUGGGUACCAGGGCCUCUGGCACAGCUCCCCGGGAGCACGGGCAGGCCUGGGCGUGCUGCACAAGGGAG